rnacentral:rRNA from 1 species
UACGAAGGGUGCGAGCGUUAUUCGGAAUCAUUGGGCGUAAAGGGUGUGUAGACGGUGUGCUAAGUCUGUUGUUAAAUACUCCAGCCUAACUGGAGACAUGCAGUGGAAACUAGCGCGCUAGAGGGUGGAAGAGAGAAGUGGAAUUCUCGGAGUAGCGGUAAAAUGCGUAGAUCUCGAGAGGAACACCAAUGGCGAAGGCAGCUUCUUGGUCCAUUCCUGACGUUGAAACACGAAAGCGUGGGGAGCAAACAGGAUUAGAUACCCUGGUAGUCCACGCUGUAAACGAUGAUCACUGGACGUCAGUUCUGUUUACAGAAUUGGUGUCGUAGCUAACGCGUUAAGUGAUCCGCCUGGGGACUACGGUCGCAAGAUUAAA